AGUGAACGCUGGCGGUAGGCCUAACACAUGCAAGUCGAACGGCAGCACAGUAAGAGCUUGCUCUUACGGGUGGCGAGUGGCGGACGGGUGAGGAAUACAUCGGAAUCUACUUUUUCGUGGGGGAUAACGUAGGGAAACUUACGCUAAUACCGCAUACGACCUACGGGUGAAAGCAGGGGAUCUUCGGACCUUGCGCGAUUGAAUGAGCCGAUGUCGGAUUAGCUAGUUGGCGGGGUAAAGGCCCACCAAGGCGACGAUCCGUAGCUGGUCUGAGAGGAUGAGCAGCCACACUGGAACUGAGACACGGUCCAGACUCCUACGGGAGGCAGCAGUGGGGAAGAUUGGACAAGGGGCGCAAGCCUGAUCCAGCCAUACCGCGUGGGUGAAGAAGGCCUUCGGGUUGUAAAGCCCUUUUGUUGGGAAAGAAAAGCAGCAGGUUAAUACCCCGCUGUUCUGACGGUACCCAAAGAAUAAGCACCGGCUAACUUCGUG
rnacentral:rRNA from 1 species